rnacentral:rRNA from 1 species
AUUGAACGCUGGCGGCAUGCCUAACACAUGCAAGUCGAGCGGAGCGGCGGACGGGGAAGUACUGCCUAGGGAUCUACCUGUUGGUGGGCGAUACCUUCCGGAGGCGGACGCUUAUACAGCAUGAUCUCAGAUCAGCCUCGGUCGGAUUGGCUAGUUGGUGGGGUAAAGGCCUACCAAGGCGACGAUCCGUAACUGGUCUGAGAGGAUGAUCAGUCACACUGGAACUGAGACACGGUCCAGACUCCUACGGGAGGCAGCAGUGGGGAAUAUUGGACAAUGGGCGAAAGCCUGAUCGAGCCAUGCCGCGUGUGUGAAGAAGGUCUUCGGAUUGUAAAGCACUUUAAGUUGGGAGGCGUUACCUACAGAAUAAGCACCGGCUAACUUCGUGCCAGCAGCCGCGGUAAUUC